AUGAGCGGGGACGAGGUUGCGAAGGCCAAGGCUGCCGCCGCCGGCGUCGGCGGCGUAGGGGAGUACGGGACGUUCCAUGGUCCGCCCAGCUACCCGCCCCCGCGCCCGCCCGUCGGGCACCCGCAGCCCGCCCCGCCGCCCGGCCUCCACGGCCAGCGCGAGCCCAACUCGCGCCACCGCGGCGGGUACCAGGCCGGGAACGCUCAAGAUUACGAAGCAGGUGCCCGUGGACAUAAACAUGACCGCCUUCCAUGCUUUGGUAUUGGCAUGGGAUGGUUUCUAUUCGUACUCGGUUUCUUUCUUGGUGCCAUCCCCUGGUAUGUCGGAGCAUUUCUGUUGUGGUGUUCCAGAGUGGAUUACAGGGAGAAACCAGGAUAUGUGGCAUGCACAAUAGCGGCUGUCCUUGCUACAAUUGCCGUCAUCAUCGGGGCAACUGCUGGAGCUCACGUUUAUUGA
rnacentral:rRNA from 1 species